UUCGUUUGGAAGUCGCUAGCGUCAGCGACCAACUUCAGCGACUAAACGUUGUUCGUUUACCGGUCGCAGGCUCAGCGACUGAUCGCAGCGACCAGACGCUAGCGACCCGCGAUUAAAAAUUUUGAUCGCCGAAAAAUUCAGCGUUUGCGACCAAAAACCUGCGAUCAAAAAAAAAAAAUUCAAAAUACAAAAACACCCUCAAUCUAUCUUCAAAAUUACAAAACAAUACCCAUAACGUAAAACUUUCUCACGCCUCAGCUCUCUCUCUCUCUCUCCACCAUCUCUCACGCCUCUCUUCAGCAUCUCUCUCUCUCUCUCUCCCUUCACCAUCUCUCAUGCCUCUCUUCACGAUCUCUCUCACACCUCUCUUCACCAUCUCUCACGAUCUCUCAUCUCCAUCUCUCACACCUCUCUUCACCAUCUCUCACGCCUCAGCUCUCUCAAAGGUGUGUGUUCUACUUGGUUCUCCGAGAUCUUGAUACUAUCUUUUCAGAUUUGGACAUAAAUCACAACUAAACAGAAAAAAUGGCUAAUGAUAUGGUUAGGUGGUACUUGGAUGAUGAUGAUGAUGAGGACGAAUAUGAGGACGAUCUGCUUAAGCCAGAGAGAUUACUUCAAAGAACAGAUCGAAGUGCUGGAUGGCAUCAUGUUCAGCAGCUUAUGCACCUUACUAAUUUAUUUGAUUUGAGUUUGUACUGAUUUUUAUUAUUAGUUACUCGUAUGACCACUUUCCCUAUUGUUUAAAUCGAAAUCUUUGUAACAAUUGUGUGAGAGUUUAUGAUUUAGACCAAAAUGAUGGGAUUUUCUUAAUAAGGAAGCUCUUAUAAUAA